rnacentral:rRNA from 1 species
CCUACGGGGGGCAGCAGUGGGGAAUAUUGCGCAAUGGGCGAAAGCCUGACGCAGCGACGCCGCGUGAGGGAUGAAGGUCUUCGGAUUGGAAACCUCUGUCAGCAGGGAAGAACGGUCACUGUGCUAAUCAGCAGUGAAUUGACGGUACCUGCAAAGGAAGCACCGGCUAACUCCGUGCCAGCAGCCGCGGGAAUACGGAGGGGGCGAGCGUUAAUCGGAAUUACUGGGCGUAAAGCGCUCGUAGGCGGUAUGUCAAGUCAAGGGUGAAAUCCCCGCGCUCAACGUGGGAACUGCCGUUGAAACUGGCAAACUUGAGUGUGUGAGAGGAUAGUGGAAUUCCAGGUGUAGUGGUGAAAUCCGUAGAUAUCUGGAGGAACAUCAGUGGCGAAGGUGACUAUCUGGCACAUAACUGACGCUGAGGAGCGAAAGCGUGGGUAGCAAACAGGAUUAGAUACCCCAGUAGUC